AUUGAACGCUGGCGGCGUGCUUAACACAUGCAAGUCGAUCGGUAACAGGUGUAGCAAUACAUGCUGACGAGAGGCGGACGGGUGAGGAAUAUUUGGGAAUCUGCCCAUCAGCGGGGGACAACCCGGGGAAACCCGGGCUAAUACCGCAUACGCUCUACGGAGGAAAGCCGGGGACCGCAAGGCCUGGCAGUGAUGGAUGAGCCCAAAUCGGAUUAGCUAGUUGGCGGGGUAACGGCCCACCAAGGCGACGAUCCGUAGCUGGUCUGAGAGGACGAUCAGCCACACCGGAACUGAGACACGGUCCGGACUCCUACGGGAGGCAGCAGUGGGGAAUAUUGGACAAUGGGGGAAACCCUGAUCCAGCGACGCCGCGUGGGUGAAGAAGGCCUGCGGGUUGUAAAGCCCUUUCGGUAGGGACGAAAGCUCUUGCUCCAACAAAGCAGGAGGUUGACUUAACCUACAUAAGAAGCACCGGCUAACUCUGUGCCAGCCGCCGCAGUAAUAC
rnacentral:rRNA from 1 species